rnacentral:rRNA from 1 species
CCUGGGGAGUACGACCGCAAGGUUGAAACUCAAAGGAAUUGACGGGGGCCCGCACAAGCGGUGGAGCAUGUGGUUUAAUUCGAAGCAACGCGAAGAACCUUACCAGGUCUUGACAUCCUUUGACCACUCUAGAGAUAGAGCUUUCCCUUCGGGGACAAAGUGACAGGUGGUGCAUGGUUGUCGUCAGCUCGUGUCGUGAGAUGUUGGGUUAAGUCCCGCAACGAGCGCAACCCUUAUUGUUAGUUGCCAUCAUUUAGUUGGGCACUCUAGCGAGACUGCCGGUGACAAACCGGAGGAAGGUGGGGAUGACGUCAAAUCAUCAUGCCCCUUAUGACCUGGGCUACACACGUGCUACAAUGGGAAGUACAACGAGUCGCUAGACCGCGAGGUCAUGCAAAUCUCUUAAAGCUUCUCUCAGUUCGGAUUGCAGGCUGCAACUCGCCUGCAUGAAGCCGGAAUCGCUAGUAAUCGCGGAUCAGCACGCCGCGGUGAAUACGUUCCCGGGCCUUGUACACACCGCCCGUCACACCACGAGAGUUUGUAACACCCGAAGUCGGUGAGGUAACCUUUUUGGAGCCAGCCGCCUAAGGUGGGAUAGAUGAUUGGGGUGAAGUCGUAACAAGGUAGCCGUAUCGGAAGGUGCGGCUG